rnacentral:misc_RNA from 1 species
CAGAGUCUUCAGCACUCCAAACCACUGUGAACAUAUCAUGUUGCUUCGGCGGGCUGCGCUGCUGGCCGGUGGCCCAGCGCACCGCCCGCCGGAGGCCAAACUCCUGUCUUCUAGCGGUAUCUUCUGAGUCUAUACCAAUAAGCAAUCA